CCUACGGGUGGCUGCAGUAAGGAAUAUUGGUCAAUGGACGCAAGUCUGAACCAGCCAUGCCGCGUGGAGGAUUAAGGCCCUCUGGGUUGUAAACUCCUUUUAUCUGGGAAGAAAUGUACUUUUUCUUGAGUACUUGACGGUACCAGAGGAAUAAGCACCGGCUAACUCCGUGCCAGCAGCCGCGGUAAUACGGAGGGUGCGAGCGUUAUCCGGAUUCACUGGGUUUAGGUGGGCAGGUAAUUGGCAGGUAAAAUCUCCGGGCUUAACCCGGGAACUGCCGUUGAUACUAUUUGUCUUGAGUAUUGUGGAGGUAAGCGGAAUAUGUCAUGUAGCGGUGAAAUGCUUAGAUAUGACAUAGAACACCAAUUGCGAAGGCAGCUUACUACACAAUCAUUGACGCUGAGGCACGAAAGCGUGGGGAUCAAACAGGAUUAGAUACCCCUGUAGUC
rnacentral:rRNA from 1 species